rfam:Aedes aegypti strain Liverpool supercont1.340 genomic scaffold, whole genome shotgun sequence.
GGGUUGGUGGUUUAAUGGCUAUCGCUUCUGCUUAGCAAGCAGGAGGUCGUGGGUUCAAACCCAGGCCCGUCCCU